UGGGGAAUAUUGCACAAUGGGCGAAAGCCUGAUCCAGCAAUGCCGCGUGUGUGAAGAAGGCCUUCGGGUUGUAAAGCACUUUUGUCCGGAAAGAAAUCCUUGGCUCUAAUACAGUCGGGGGAUGACGGUACCGGAAGAAUAAGCACCGGCUAACUACGUGCCAGCAGCCGCGGUAAUACGUAGGGUGCAAGCGUUAAUCGGAAUUACUGGGCGUAAAGCGUGCGCAGGCGGUUUGCUAAGACCGAUGUGAAAUCCCCGGGCUCAACCUGGGAACUGCAUUGGUGACUGGCAGGCUAGAGUAUGGCAGAGGGGGGUAGAAUUCCACGUGUAGCAGUGAAAUGCGUAGAGAUGUGGAGGAAUACCGAUGGCGAAGGCAGCCCCCUGGGCCAAGUACUGACGCUCAUGCACGAAAGCGUGGGGGAGCAAAC
rnacentral:rRNA from 1 species